GACGAACGCUGGCGGCGUGCCUAAUACAUGCAAGUCGAACGCAGUGGGGACGGGUGAGUAACCCGGGGGUAACCUCCCAUCAGAGGGGAUAACACUUGGAAACACGUGCUAAACCGAUACUGAUGGAUGAACCCGCGGUGCAUUAGCUAGUUGGUGAGGUAACGGCUCACCAGGGCCACGAUGAAUAGGCGACCGGGGAGGGGGAGCGGCCACACUGGGACUGAGGCGCGGCACUGACUCCUACGGGAGGCAGCAGUAGGGAAUCUGCGGCAAUGGACGAAAGUCUGACCGAGCAACGCCGCGUGAGUGACGAAGGUUUUCGGAUCGUAAAACUCUGUUGUUAGAGAAGCGGUAUCUAACCAGAAAGCCACGGCUAACUACGUGCCAGCAGCCGCGGUAAUUC
rnacentral:rRNA from 1 species